rnacentral:sRNA from 1 species
GAAAUGUUUCCACCUAUAACUUGUUUUCUUGAAUGAUUCAAGCAGUGAGGACCCCUGAAAGAAAUGAACGAUAAUUUUCAUCUAUAAAAACACGUGAUUAAACACGCCGUUGUUAAUUAGCCUUUCUUGCUGUCUGUGAAAACUUCAAACUUCAUAUUCUACCAACGUUGUAAGAGUGAGAUUCAGUCUUGAAGAUUUAAAGUCCAAAUAUGUCUACUGCGCGCAGAGUCACGUUCGACCAGACGCGAAAUGGGUUCAAAAGUUUAACCGUUGUUGGAGCCUGUCUCCUAACGUUUGCAUUCUCCUCCGCCUGGUCGCUCCUGGAAGAAGAAAAAAGCGAUAUCAAGUGGCCGAAAGGAAUGGAACCGCUAACCGAUCGCCUCGCGGGAUUGAGAAAUAAACUGCAGGCAAAGAACGACAAAAGCUACGAUGAGUUUCUAUCCCCUUUGAGAUGGCCAUUUCCUUCUGGAGAAUUGUUGAAAUACACUCUAGAGAAAUGCGAUCCCAACACCGAAAUUGUUAAAAUAAACUCUCUGAAACUCGAUCCUGAUCCUAUACCAACAAAAGGGGAGAUGACUGUUUACAUAGAUUUCACAGUAGAUGAAGAUGUCAAUCCGCCCAUUAA